rnacentral:rRNA from 1 species
UACGAAGGGGGCGAGCGUUGUUCGGAUUUACUGGGCGUAAAGGGCGCGCAGGCGGCUUUGUUUGUCAGGCGUGAAAGCCCCGGGCUUAACCUGGGAACUGCGUUUGAUACGGCAGGGCUAGAGUUCGGGAGAGGAGAGUGGAAUUCCCAGUGUAGAGGUGAAAUUCGUAGAUAUUGGGAAGAACACCGGUGGCGAAGGCGGCUCACUGGCCCGAUACUGUCGCUGAGGCACGAAAGCGUGGGGAGCAAACAGG